rnacentral:rRNA from 1 species
UACGUAGGGGGCAAGCGUUGUCCGGAUUUAUUGGGCGUAAAGAGCUCGUAGGCGGCUUGUUGCGUCGUCCGUGAAAACCUGUGGCUCAACUACAGGCUUGCGGUCGAUACGGGCGGGCUGGAGUUCGGUAGGGGAGACUGGAAUUCCUGGUGUAGCGGUGAAAUGCGCAGAUAUCAGGAGGAACACCGGUGGCGAAGGCGGGUCUCUGGGCCGAUACUGACGCUGAGGAGCGAAAGCGAGGGGAGCAAACGGG